rnacentral:lncRNA from 1 species
UAAAAAUAUAUAAAAAUAUAAAAAAGUAUUUCUUUCUCAAUUUAUUUGCUAUCAAUCUGUUUUUACUAAAUGAUAAAGAAUACAAUUUUAUAGCUGGAUUAUUACAAUACAAAGUGAGUUGUCUUGGAGAAGAGCAACACAUAUUCAUCAUAAUGUAAACGUUUUCAAUCCACAUUUUGGUAUCGAAAACGAUACAGAGUAAAUUUGAACACGAACAUCAAACGAAAGUUUCUCGCUUUGUGAACCCUCCGAAGAAAAGUGCAUCCCUCUGUGUAUACUUUAUCUGUGUACUUUAUCUGUGCCUAUUUCGACAUCUAGGAUGUUAGUAAUAUCCCUUCGACCAUCUCAAAAGCAAUUUCAAGACGAGGCACAAGAUCGUUCUCUUAAAAAAAAGUGACCGCUACAAACUGUAAGUUUAACAUAUUUAUUUCAACACUUUUAUUAAAAAUAGGUUUCAGAAAAAUUCUGCAGCUUUUAUGUUAUAUUAUUCUGUUGAUUCAUCUCGCAUUGAGCGUGCGCUUGAAAGAGCAGGAAUUACGAUCGAUUAACGUUGCGCCGGCUAUAGGGUCGCUCUUCUGCGUUUCUGCGAAACUUUUUCAGCCCUUUAGCCGACUGUUAUUCCUGCGAACGUGUUUGUUUGAGCCCGUGAGCUCAUCAAAAUGGUGAUUCAUUUCGACAGAUUAAAUCUGUGGACCGCGAGAGUGUCAGUUAGUAUUCGUGACGCCAUUGUUAGCUGCGCGGCGCUUCUUCUUUCAUCGCGAUGACCCGUUGAAAAUUAUUAUACUUCUGUCAAGGAGAUUGAAUAUCUAACACUCGUCUACUCGAUCUUCUACGAUAAUAUUAAUUCUGAUAUGCACCUGUACGGACAUUGUAUGGAUCAGAGAUUGGAUACAAUGAUUUUUGGAUCAGGAUUUUGUGCGACAAACUGCCACAACGGGGGAAGGUAUGCGACCAUGCGAGCGUGAGCUAGUUGUGUAGAGCUCUUUGCUUAGAUCUGUAUUAACGUCUCGACGUUUUAACGUGUUAAUGUCUCCAUCGCUACUCGACUUCGCGACAGACGGGACAUGUGCGAAUUCUUCGUUGGGUACGUCACAGAAAGCACAGAAAUAUGUAUUAUUACUCACAUUGGUACUAAUAGAGCAAUUUUUUAAUGAACAGCUUUUUGCUAUCGUAGCGAUUCAUAAAUAGCUCAGGAAGACGGUUUUUCUUCAAAAAUGACAGUACCUUCGUGUGACGGUUAAUAACUUUUUUCUAAUUAGUACUUAGCAAUUAUUUCCAAUUAAAGACGCAAAAUGUCUAUCGCGUAGAUCGCGUUGAUUUGUGAUCUCUUACUGGUGCAGUACAUUCUAUGAGUUAAUUAUUGUAGCUAAUUGGCAGCACAAAUUGGAGUCUCCAGGAGAAUAAAUUUAUGUUAUUUUUAUUCUAUAACAAAUAGAAUAAUAUUCCCUCACGGUGCAUCACGUAGACGAAGACGAGAGGAGAGAGUUCCUCGGAAAAGAGCAGUUCUUCCGAGACAAAUCUUUCUUUUCUUUCUUUUUUCACGUGACACGCGCGUAGGAUCGACCCAACUAGAAUGGAUUAAGGAUGUAGCGUUCGUUGCAGGCGCGUAGAUCACGAUGAUGAGCCGUAACGAGUGCGUGUCGAGCGAACAGCAGGGCAACACGUACACGCAUGGGGUACGGUGCGCCGCGUUGUGCAGGAGCCGCGAUUCGAGUGCGCGCGCGAGCGGCUUGAGCGAGUUGGAGGUCGGAGGUGUAUAUUGGCCAUUUCCGCAGGAAGCUCUAGGUAACCUGUAACCGCCAUUGAGCUUCUCCGACUGAACGUGGCACGGAUCUGUGCUAUCGUUUCAUAACAUGCCUGCGCGUUCUGGAUCCGCGCGUUGGCGCGUCGCGCCCCCGAAACGCUAAUUCGCUGAUCUCCGCUCCCAAUCUCCGCCUCGAUCCCGACCUUUUCAUUCGCGUUUGCUGCGGCUCGCGCAAACGAACGGCGUUAAUUCUUCCUGCUUGACGUUACGGAGGAUUGUUAAGCUAAACGGCUAAAUAUGUGGAACUGGUGAUGGACCGAGUUUCCGCCCUUUCGAAGCGUUCCAAAGCUCUUUUUUAUGCUGAGAUAGAUAAUCAAUAAUUAAUUAAAAUUUCAGAAGGCUUUAUAAGAAUCUUGUAUCUCUAUAUAAUUAUUUGUUAACGCUCAAAACUCGUAAUUAUUGAUUGUAGAACUUGAUGUGAGUCGAGUUAUAUAACAAAUUGUAUAACAAAAUUGUCUUAUGAUAUAAUAUUUUAUUUAAUUAAUGUUUAAUUAAUUUAUUUUAUUUAAUGUCUUAUAAAUUGUUAUGAUAUAAUAUUAGUUUAUUAUUAAUAUAGAUUAAUUUUUCUGAUAAAUUAAUGUCCAAAUAUAUUUCCAUCAUUUAUAUAGUGAUGAUCGCUUGCAGCUCAGUUUUGAGAUUGCUCCGAGAUUGUAAUUUAAUUUUUCGAUACAUGUAUGAUCGAGAGAAUCCAUCGUAAUUAUGUUUAAUCCGAGAAAAUAGUCUUAAAGAAAAGAAACUUUAUAAAAGUAUGUGUAAAUUAAAUAACAAUAAAAAGUAUUUAUUAUUAA